UGGGGAAUAUUGCACAAUGGGCGAAAGCCUGAUGCAGCGACGCCGCGUGAGGGAUGACGGCCUUCGGGUUGUAAACCUCUUUCAGCAGGGAAGAAGCGAAAGUGACGGUACCUGCAGAAGAAGCACCGGCUAACUACGUGCCAGCAGCCGCGGUAAUACGUAGGGUGCGAGCGUUGUCCGGAAUUAUUGGGCGUAAAGAGCUCGUAGGCGGUUUGUCGCGUCUGGUGUGAAAACUCGAGGCUCAACCUCGAGCUUGCAUCGGGUACGGGCAGACUAGAGUGCGGUAGGGGAGACUGGAAUUCCUGGUGUAGCGGUGGAAUGCGCAGAUAUCAGGAGGAACACCGAUGGCGAAGGCAGGUCUCUGGGCCGCAACUGACGCUGAGGAGCGAAAGCAUGGGGAGCGAACA
rnacentral:rRNA from 1 species